CCCACUCGUUUAAAGACACCAUUAAAACCCAUACUACCAUUUCGGCAAAGAUGCAGCCGAUACUCCACAUAUCCACAGCUGUUGAAUAGUAUUUGCAUCCCAGGAGUAUUUCAGGAGCUCGAUACCACAAAGUCACCACCUGGUUGUGCACCUCAAUCUCAGAUGGCAGGGAGUCUCAACAGUACCUCAUGAGUGUAUGUGCGCAGGGGAACUCCAAAAGCUCUUGCAAGCCCAAAAUCAGCCAGCUUGAUUGCUCCCGCUUCAUUAAUGAGCAAGUUCUGUGGCUUCAAGUCCCUGUGGAUGACUCUGUGGGAGUGGCAAAAGCUCACACCCUGCAGCAGCUGGAAAAGGCACUGAAAGACUGAAAAGCAUCUCUUGUUGCCUGAUCUGGAGCCGACUACAGUGAUGACCAGGAUGUGGUCAGUGAGCUGGUGGGGAGGGUUCACAUGGCUCUUACCUGACUAUGUUGGGAUGCUUCAGCUCCUUCAACAGCGAGAUUUCUCGGAUGGCAGUGCUGGGGACGCCCUCUGUCUCCCUAUGGCAGAGGAAUGUGAUAUCUUGGAUGUUCCUGAUUAUCUGGUAAACCUGGCCAUUCGGAUAAAAUUUAAGCCCGGGGGCAAAAGCAGGAGAAUAAACAGAUGAGGUUUUAAUCCUGCUGGGCCUGGCACCGUGUUCUUAAGACAGGGUGGCUCUGAUGUAAUUUAAUCUCCUCUUCUUGCAACUUUUUCAAAGCCAAGCACUUCCUUACACACCCA